AACGAACGCUGGCGGCAGGCUUAACACAUGCAAGUCGAACGGAUCCUUCGGGAUUAGUGGCAGACGGGUGAGUAACGCGUGGGAACGUACCCUUUGCUACGGAAUAACUCAGGGAAACUUGAGCUAAUACCGUAUGUGCCCUACGGGGGAAAGAUUUAUCGGCAAAGGAUCGGCCCGCGUUGGAUUAGCUAGUUGGUGGGGUAAUGGCCUACCAAGGCGACGAUCCAUAGCUGGUCUGAGAGGAUGAUCAGCCACCCUGGGACUGAGACACGGCCCAAACUUCUACAGGGGGCAGCAGUGGGGAAUAUUGGACCAUGGUGGGAAACCUAGUCCAGCCAUUCCGCGUGAGUGAUUAAGGUCUUAGGAUUGUAAAGCUCUUUCACCGGGGAAGAUUAAGGCGGUAGACGGAGAAAGAACCCCGGCUAACUUCG
rnacentral:rRNA from 1 species